rnacentral:tRNA from 1 species
CCAAAUGAGUGGGCCUCGAUCCCACAAUAAAUUAGUUAACAGCUAAACACCUAAACCAGCGGGCUUUCAUUUG